GGCGCGCCAGUCCUCCGAUAGACUGAGUCGCCCGGGUACCCGUGUUCACCAAUAAAGCCUCUUGCUGAUUACAUCCGAAUCGUGGUCUCGCUGAUCCUUGGGAGGGUCUCCUCAGAUUGAUUGACUACCCACCGCGGGGGUCUUUCAUUUGGAGGUCCCACCGAGAUUAGGAGACCCCUGCCCAGGGACCACCGACCCCCGCCGGGAGCUCACUUACAGGCCCUCCAAGCAGUACAACGAGAGGUCUGGAAGCCACUGGCCGCUGCUUAUCAGGACCAGCUGGAUCAGCCAGUGAUACCACACCCCUUCCGCGACGGCGACGCCGUGUGGGUACGCCGGCACCAGACUAAAAACUUAGAACCCCGCUGAAAAGGACCCUACACCGUCCUGCUGACCACCCCCACCGCUCUCAAAGUAGACGGCAUCUCUGCGUGGAUACACGCCGCUCACGUAAAGGCGGCGACAACUCCUCCGGCCGGAACAGCAUGGAAGGUCCAGCGUUCUCAAAAUCCCUUAAAGAUAAGAUUAACCCGUGGGGCCCCCUGAUAGUUACAGGUCCCCAUGGUUCACGACCUUGAUAUCCACCAUUAUGGGCCCCUUGAUAAUACUUUUAUUAAUCCUACUCCUUAGACCCUGUAUUCUCAACCGCUUGGUCCAGUUUGUAAAAGACAGAAUUUCGGUGGUGCAGGCCCUGGUUCUGACCCAACAGUAUCACCAACUCAAAUCAAUAGAUCCAGAAGAAGUGGAAUCACGUGAAUAAAAGAUUUUAUUCAGUUUCCAGAAAGAGGGGGGAAUGAAAGACCCCACCAUAAGGCUUAGCAAGCUAGCUGCAGUAACGCCAUUUUGCAAGGCAUGAAAAAGUACCAGAGCUGAGUUCUCAAAAGUUACAAGGAAGUUCAGUUAAAGAUUAACAGUUAAAAAUCAAGGCUGAAUAAUACUAGGACAAGGGCCAAGAACCGAUGGUGCCCACCUGGGCCCCGGCUCAAGGCCAAGAACCGGUGGUACCCACCUGGGCCCCGGCUCAGGGCCAAGAACAGAUGGUACCCAGAUAAGGCGGAACCAGCAACAGUUUCUGAAAAAGUCCCACCUCAGUUUCAGGUUCCCCAAAUGACCAGGAAAUACCCCCAGCCUUGAUUUGAACUAACCACUCAGCUCGCUUCUCGCUUCUGUACCCGCGCUUUUUGCUCCCCAGCCCUAUAAAAAGGGUAAAAACCCCACACUCGGCGCGCCAGUCCUCCGAUAGACUGAGUCGCCCGGGUACCCGUGUUCACCAAUAAAGCCUCUUGCUGAUUACAUCCGAA